CCGAUUUGGGUGACCGUACCGCAAACCGACACUGGUAGGUGGGUAGAAUAUACCAGUGGGAGCGAGAGAACCCUCGUUAAGGAAUUAGGCAAAUUUCCCCCGUACGUUCGCAAUAAGGGGGGCCUCUGGUGGUGAGCUUAAUCGCAAAGCUGCUGGAGGCCGCAGAGAAAUGGCUCUUCCAACUGUUUAACAAAAACACAGGUCUCUGCUAAGUCGAAAGACGAAGUAUAGGGGCUGACGCCUGCCCAGUGCUGGAAGGUUAAGGGGAGAGGUUAGGCGCAAGCCGAAGCUUUGAGCCGAAGCCCCAGUGAACGGCGGCCGUAACAAUAACGGUCCUAAGGUAGCGAAAUUCCUUGUCGGGUAAGUUCCGACCCGCACGAAUGGCGUAAUGAGAGGAGCACUGUCUCAACGAGGGACUCGGCGAACAUUGAAGGACGUGUGAAGAUACACGUGACCCGCAGCGGGACAAAAAGACCCCGUGAAGCUUUACUACAACGUGCCAUUGAGUUAGGGCUAAACCUGUGUAGUAUAGGUGGGAGGCUUUGAAGCUGGGACGCCAGUCUCGGUGGAGCCACCGUUGAAAUACCACCCUGGUUUAUUCUUGGCUCUAACCUGUCGCCGUUAUCCGGCAUGGGAACAGUGGCUGGUGGGUAGUUUGACUGGGGCGGUCGCCUCCGAAAGCGUAACAGAGGCGCCCAAAGGUUCCCUCAGGCUGAAUGGAAACCAGCCGUUGAGUGUAAAGGCACAAGGGAGCUUGACUGCAAGACCAACAAGUCGCGCAGGGACGAAAGUCGGGCUUAGUGAUCCCACGGUUCAGAGUGGAAUGGCCGUGGCUUACCGGAUAAAAGCUACUCCGGGGAUAACAGGGUAGUCUGGUCCAAGAGUUCAUGUCUACGACCAGGUUCGCCACCUCGAUGUCGGCUCAUCACAUCCUGGGGCUGGAUAAGGUCCCAAGGGUUGGGCUGUUCGCCCAUUAAAGUGGUACGUGAGCUGGGUUCAGACCGUCGUGAGACAGGUCGGUCUCUAUCCGCUGUGGGCGUAAGGGAUUUGAGAGAAGCUGCCCCUAGUACGAGAGGACCGGGGUGGACGGACCUCUAGUGUGCCAGUUGUUCUGCCAAGAGCAUUGCUGGGUAGCUACGUCCGGCAGAGAUAACCGCUGAAAGCAUCUAAGUGGGAAACUCGUCUCAAGAUUAGAUCCCUCAUCCGUAUGGAGUAAGACCGCUAGAAGACUACUAGUUUGAUAGGCGGCAGGUGUAAGCGCAGUAAUGUGUUCAGCUUAGCCGUACUAAUGGUCGAGGGCUUACGUUU
rnacentral:rRNA from 1 species